AUGCUGACCUUUGUGGUUGCAUUGAAUAAUAAUUUGUUUUCUUGGUUUUUGAUUGAGAAAUAUUCAUUUGUUCAUGCAAUUCGAUUCGAGUUUCAUUUGGUUUUCAAUUCACUUGUGGUUACUAACGUGUUUAUGGUUUGUGCAAGCUUACAAGAGUUCUCAAGUUCCUUUCUCCUCACAAUUCCAUUCUACUUCCUAUAUCUAUUUUCAUUUUAA